rnacentral:rRNA from 1 species
AUGCACGCUGGCGGCGUGCCUCAUCCCUGCAAGUCGCGCGAACGGACGAGAAGCUUGCUUCUCUGAUGUUAGCGGCGGACGGGUGAGUAACACGUGGAUAACCUACCUAUAAGACUGGGAUAACUUCGGGAAACCGGAGCUAAUACCGGAUGAUAUUUUGAACCGCAUGGUUCAAAAGUGAAAGACGGUCUUGCUGUCACUUAUAGAUGGAUCCGCGCUGCAUUAGCUAGUUGGUAAGGUAACGGCUUACCAAGGCAACGAUGCAUAGCCGACCUGAGAGGGUGAUCGGCCACACUGGAACUGAGACACGGUCCAGACUCCUACGGGAGGCAGCAGUAGGGAAUCUUCCGCAAUGGGCGAAAGCCUGACGGAGCAACGCCGCGUGAGUGAUGAAGGUCUUCGGAUCGUAAAGCUCUGUUAUUAGGGAAGAACAUAUGUGUAAGUAACUGUGCACAUCUUGACGGUACCUAAUCAGAAAGCCACGGCUAACUACGUG